GGGGGUAUCGUAGUAGUCUAACUCGGGAGAGCGCUUGAAUGGCAUUCAAGAGGUCAGGAGUUCGAUCCUCCUUAUCUCCACCA
rnacentral:tRNA from 1 species